GGGGUCGACUGGUUUUGACAGCGAGUCGAAUUGAAAAGUAAGCAGGUCGAGAACUGAAGUAAUUCUCGUUAAUAAAAGGCUUCACACUUUUUACACGGCGAAGGAAACUACGCUCUUGCUGCAUAAUCUGAAUCAUAGUAAGAUUAGCCUCGUCCUACCAGGUAGGAAAGCAGGAUUCUCCUCAAAGGCUUUGGUUUAUAGCAUUUGAUCUAGGAGAAUCGUAAAUAUAAACCUAGGGCAUCGUUUGUUUCGGGCGGUACUUGAAAAUUAAGAGACUAAGUGUUUUGUGGCUGUUUCUGGCCUAGCAAAACAUCGAAAAAUCAAUCAGAAAAUAAGCCUGUAGAAAGCUCUUUAGUUGCUUGUUUGGACCCGGGUUCGAUUCCCGGCGACUCCACAU
rfam:Flavobacteria bacterium GWA2_35_26 gwa2_scaffold_8, whole genome shotgun sequence.